AGAGCGAACGCUGGCGGCAGGCCUAACACAUGCAAGUCGAGCGCCCCGCAAGGGGAGCGGCAGACGGGAGAGUAACACGUGGGAACGUACCCUUCAGUUCGGAACAACCCAGGGAAACUUGGGCUAAUACCGGAUACGUCCGUAAGGAGAAAGAUUUAUCGCUGAAGGAUCGGCCCGCGUCUGAUUAGCUUGUUGGUGAGGUAACGGCUCACCAAGGCGACGAUCAGUAGCUGGUCUGAGAGGAUGAUCAGCCUCACUGGGACUGAGACACGGCCCAGACUCCUACGGGAGGCAGCAGUGGGAAUAUGGACAAUGGGCGCAAGCCUGAUCCAGCCAUGCCGCGUGGGUGAUGAAGGCCCUAGGGUUGUAAAGCCCUUUCGGCGGGGAAGAUAAUGACGGUACCCGCAGAAGAAGCCCCGGCUAACUUCGUGCCAGCAGCCGC
rnacentral:rRNA from 1 species